rnacentral:rRNA from 2 species
UGAGGAAUAUUGGUCAAUGGACGAGAGUCUGAACCAGCCAAGUAGCGUGAAGGAUGACUGCCCUAUGGGUUGUAAACUUCUUUUAUACGGGAAUAAAGUGAGCCACGUGUGGCUUUUUGUAUGUACCGUAUGAAUAAGGAUCGGCUAACUCCGUGCCAGCAGCCGCGGUAAUACGGAGGAUCCGAGCGUUAUCCGGAUUUAUUGGGUUUAAAGGGAGCGUAGGCGGGUUGUUAAGUCAGUUGUGAAAGUUUGCGGCUCAACCGUAAAAUUGCAGUUGAUACUGGCGACCUUGAGUGCAACAGAGGUAGGCGGAAUUCGUGGUGUAGCGGUGAAAUGCUUAGAUAUCACGAAGAACUCCGAUUGCGAAGGCAGCUUACUGGAUUGUAACUGACGCUGAUGCUCGAAAGUGUGGGUAUCAAACA